CUAUGCGCCUUGCCACGCCCGCUCAGAAACUCAAAGGAAGUGACGGGACCCGCACAAGCAGCGGAGCGUGUGGUUUAAUUCGUGCUACACGAAGAACCUUACCUAGGUUUGACAUAUAGGUUGUAGGGAACUAGAAAAGGGACCGACCCUUCGGGGAGCCUAUACAGGUGUUGCAUGGCUGUCGUCAGCUCGUGUCGUGAGAUGUUCGGUUAAGUCCGCUAACGAGCGCAACCCUCGUCGUAUGUUACAAGUGUCAUACGAGACUGACCGGUAAAAGUCGGAGGAAGGUGAGGAUGAUGUCAAGUCAGCAUGACCUUUAUAUCUAGGGCUACACACACGCUACAAUGGUCUGUACAAUGGGUUGCCAAGCCGCAGGCGGAGCCAAUCCUAAAAAGCAAGCCUCAGUUCAGAUUGCAGUCUGCAACCCGACUGCAUGAAGCCGGAGUUGCUAGUAACCGCAGGUCAGCAAUACUGCGGUGAAUACGUUCCCGGGUCUU
rnacentral:rRNA from 1 species